UGCGCCCUCGUUCAAUGGCAGGACACAUGGCUCUGGACCAUGUUAUCGGGGUUCGACUCCCUGGGGCGCAGCCA
rnacentral:tRNA from 1 species